UACAUGUGUGCAUUUCGGACAUUGCCUUGCUUAUGCAUUUGUGAAAUGAUGGUUGUUGAUCCAAUGAAUCUGAAUUUUUGCAUGAUGAAACUAGACAUUUUGCUUGACAUUUUGGUGUUGAGUGUGCAUUUUUAUCAUUUAUCAUUUCUGGUUUGUGAUUUUUCUAAGUAGGUGUGACAAUUUGUGUCACACCUUUGGAUGUUCAUCUUGUGCUAUGUGUUUACCCUAUCAAAUGAUGCUUAAUUGUUCUGAUUUUUUGCAUGCUGAUC
rnacentral:lncRNA from 1 species